rnacentral:tRNA from 1 species
GGAAGUGGAUGGGCCCUGGUGGGCCUCCUGGACUUCAAAUCCAGUGGCGGGCGCUGAGGCCCGCGGCGGGUUCGAUUCCCGUACACUUCCGCCA